rnacentral:rRNA from 1 species
GCGUUGUCCGGAGUUACUGGGCGUAAAGCGCACGCAGGCGGUCAACUACAUCUGUAGGGACAGGGCACAGCUUAACUGUGUCAGGCUUAUGGAAAUGGGUAGACUUGAGGGCUUCAGAGGGAUGGGGAAUUCCGGGUGGAGUGGUGAAAUGCGUAGAGAUCCGGAAGAACACCAAAGGCGAAGGCACCAUCCUGGGAAGAACCUGACGCUCGGGUGCGAAAGCUAG